AGGUUAAGUUAACAAGGGCGCAUGGUGAAUGCCUUGGCACUAGGAGCCGAUGAAGGACGGGACUAACACCGAUAUGCUUCGGGGAGCUGUACGUAAGCUAUGAUCCGGAGAUUUCCGAAUGGGGCAACCCAGCAGUUUUAAUCAACUGUUACCACUAGAUGAAUUCAUAGUCUAGUUGGAGGUAAACGCUGUGAACUGAAACAUCUCAUUAGCAGCAGGAAUAUAAAGAAAUUUCGAUUCCCUAAGUAGCGGCGAGCGAACGGGGAACAGCCCAAACCAAAGUGCUUGCACUUUGGGGUUGUAGGACUGAACAUUUGAGUUACCAAAGAACUUGAUAGUCGAAGGAUUUGGGAAAAUCCGCCAUAGAUGGUGAUAGCCCAGUAGAUUAAAUCAAAUUCUCUCAGUUCAGGAUCCUGAGUACGGCGGAACACGUGAAAUUCCGUCGGAAUCCGGGAGGACCAUCUCCCAAGGCUAAAUACUACCUAGUGACCGAUAGUGAACCAGUACCGUGAGGGAAAGGUGAAAAGCACCCCGGGAGGGGAGUGAAAUAGUUCCUGAAACCAUGUGCCUACAAUAAGUCAGAGCGCGUUAAUGCGUGAUGGCGUGCCUUUUGUAGAAUGAACCGGCGAGUUAUGAUCCCGUGCAAGGUUAAGACUAAAAAGUCGGAGCCGUAGCGAAAGCGAGUCUGAAAUGGGCGCUUUGAGUACGAGGUUAUAGACCCGAAACCAGGUGACCUAUCCAUGUCCAGGUUGAAGGUGCGGUAAAACGCACUGGAGGACCGAACCCGUGUAAGUUGAAAAUUGCUGGGAUGAGGUGUGGAUAGCGGUGAAAUUCCAAACGAACUUGGAGAUAGCUGGUUCUCUCCGAAAUAGCUUUAGGGCUAGCCUCGGAAUUAGGAUCAUGGAGGUAG
rnacentral:rRNA from 1 species